GGAAUAGAACUUUCCAGGCAUAAGGAGGUAAUAAAUAGAAUCACCAUGGCAAAUCCGGAACAACUAAGAGAGGCUUUUAAAGGCAAGAUUGCCUUCUCCAGAAGCUCAUUCUUCAAGUCCCCUCCCCAUGCAAGCAAAGAAAGGCAUGCGCUGUGAAAGUUGCAUGGGUGAGAUACUACUUCAUUCAAAUUCUUCAUCUUAAAACUGCACAGCAAAGAAGAUGUCUUUCCCUGCCUAGAAUUUAAAAAAUGUGUUUUAAAAAUAUAUUUCCUGUGUACAUUUAGUCACUGCAUUAUUGAUCACACCUAGCACAUAGUAGCAUGACAUCCUCUCAAACGCUACCUGACAGACUGCUGCAAUCACCCUGUGAAUGCUUGUCGUGACAAACUGAGAUGAGGUUUGUCAAGUGUUCAGCACAGAAAAUGCUCAACAUCUCCCUCUGGAUGUCCAGCAGUUACUUCAAAUGCAUCCCCCAAGGCAGUUCAUCUUCCAUGUAACUAUAAUAAUCACAGU
rnacentral:lncRNA from 1 species